rnacentral:rRNA from 1 species
AUGCCAAUGGCACUGCCCGGUAGCUAAAUGCGGAAGAGAUAAGUGCUGAAAGCAUCUAAGCACGAAACUUGCCCCGAGAUGAGUUCUCCCUGAGACUUCGAGUCUCCUGAAGGAACGUUGAAGACGACGACGUUGAUAGGUCGGGUGUGUAAGCGCAGCGAUGCGUUGAGCUAACCGAUACUAAUGAACCGUGAGGCUUAACCUUACAACGCCGAAG